UUCGCCCUUAGAGUUUGAUCCUGGCUCAGGACGAACGCUGGCGGCGUGCUUAACACAUGCAAGUCGAACGAAAAUCACGGGAACGACCUUUCGGACAACGGAAAGUGAGGACAAGAGGCGGACAGGUGACUGACUCGUGAAGAACCAGCCUUUCAGAAGGGGACAACAGUUGGAAACUACUGCCACUACCCCACGACACAUAGAGAUCACAUGGUUUUCAUGUCAAAAAUGUGAUUCGCUGACAGAUGGCCUCGCGGCAUGAUUAACUACCCGGCGAGGCAACGCGCCCGCCAACGAGACGAUCAGUAGACCGACCGAGAGGUAGACCAGACACAUUGGGAAUGACAUACGGACCAAACUCCUACGGAAGGCAGCCAUGGGGAGCAUUGCGCACUGGGCGCCAGCCUGCCCCAGCAACGCCGUGUGAAGGAAGAAGGCUUUCGGGUUGUACAUUUCUUUUGUCGGGGACGAGUAGAAGACGGUCCCUGGGGAAUAAGCCACGGCUAAUUACGUGCCACCAGCCGCGGUAAUACGUAGGUGCCAAGCGUUUUCCGGAUUUACUGGGUGUAAAGGGCGUGUAGCCGGGAAGCCAAUUCAGAUGUGAAAUCCACGGGCUUAACUCGUGAACUGCAUUUGAAAUUUCUUUUCUUGAGUAUGGGAGAGCCAAUCGGAAUUCUUAGUGUAGCGGUGAAAUGGGUAGAUAUUAGGAGGACCCCCAGUGGGGAAGGCGGAUUGUUGGACGUCAACUGCCGGUGAGGCGGGAAAGCGUGGGGAGCAACCAGGAUUAGAUCCCCUGGUAGUCCACCCUGUAAACGAUGAAUACUAGGUGUGCGGGGACUGACCCCCUGCGUGCCGCAGUUAACGCAAUAAGUAUUCCACCUGGGGAGUACGAUCGCAAGGUUGAAACUCAAAGGAAUUGACGGGGGCCCGCACAAGCGGUGGAUCAUGUGGUUUAAUUCGACGCAACGCGGAGAACCUUACCAGGGCUUGACAUCCUACUAACGAAGUAGAGAUACAUCAGGUGCCCUUCGGGGAAAGUAGAGACAGGUGGUGCAUGGUUGUCGUCAGCUCGUGUCGUGAGAUGUUGGGUUAAGUCCCGCAACGAGCGCAACCCCUAUUGUUAGUUGCUACGCAAGAGCACUCUAGCGAGACUGCCGUUGACAAAACGGAGGAAGGUGGGGACGACGUCAAAUCAUCAUGCCCCUUAUGUCCUGGGCUACACACGUAAUACAAUGGCGGUCAACAGAGGGAAGCAAAACCGUAAGGUGGAGCGAACCCCCAAAAACCGUCUCAGUUCAGAUUGCGGGCUGCAACCCGCCCACAUGAAGUCGGAAUCGCUAGUAAUCGCGGAUCAGCAUGCCGCGGUGAAUACAUUCCCGGGCCUUGUACACACCGCCCGUCA
rnacentral:rRNA from 1 species